UCACUGGAUUGUCUGGUCCAGACUCGAGUAUUUACAAACCACCGCCAUAUAGCUGGAAUAUUGCUGAGUGCGGCGUAAAGCUAAACUCACUCACAUUAACGCGGUACCAUCCAUAUUAACGGGUUCUUCCUGAGAUUAGUCAGCAGGGAAUUUGUUUGUGUUUGUAGUACACACAGGUGUUAUAAGGUACACUAUUAUAAACCUGCAAAUAUGCACGUAAAAGGAACUCCACAACUAGACGAAAAGUUACAACAAAGUAAUGUGCAAUGUCAUAAUAAAGAGUUCAGUUUGAUACUUUACCUUCUACUCUAAACAGAGUUAGAAUUUGCUCCAACUUCUGAAAUAUAGAACGCAAGGUAAUAGGUUAUCGACAUUCAUUGUUGCAUGAGUUUUAAGGAGGCUAUCCAUAAAUGAAUAUUUAAAUGUGCAAAUGUUUUCUGUUAAAAUGCAGGUAAAUCCUGACAAUAUCGAAUUGAAUUCAAGACCUGAUAUUAAAAUUAUUUUGUUCAAUACAAA